GGACUAUCUCAACAAUUUCAACCCUCGCCAAGAUCUCGAAUUUCUCAUCAAGCAAUCUCCUUUGCCCACGCUCUUCACUUAGAGACCAAAAGGGGAUGGUGGU